GAGGGUCGUCGAAGAAUACGACGUUGAUAGGUCACAGAUGUAAGCGUGGCGACACGUCAGUCGAGUGAUACUAAUUGCCCGAAAGAGUUUCCCCA
rnacentral:rRNA from 1 species